UGGGGAAUAUUGCACAAUGGGCGCAAGCCUGAUGCAGCCAUGCCGCGUGUAUGAAGAAGGCCUUCGGGUUGUAAAGUACUUUCAGUCGGGAGGAAGGUGGUAAGGUUAAUAACCUUAUCAAUUGACGUUACCGACAGAAGAAGCACCGGCUAACUCCGUGCCAGCAGCCGCGGUAAUACGGAGGGUGCAAGCGUUAAUCGGAAUUACUGGGCGUAAAGCGCACGCAGGCGGUUGAUUGAGUCAGAUGUGAAAUCCCCGGGCUUAACCCGGGAAAUGCAUCUGAUACUGGUCAGCUAGAGUCUUGUAGAGGGGGGUAGAAUUCCAUGUGUAGCGGUGAAAUGCGUAGAGAUGUGGAGGAAUACCUGUGGCGAAGGCGGCCCCCUGGACAAAGACUGACGCUCAGGUGCGAAAGCGUGGGGAGCAAACAGG
rnacentral:rRNA from 1 species